rnacentral:lncRNA from 1 species
GGGAAAGAAUAAAAGUAGAAGUCCAGUGGAGGAGAAACAAGAGUCAUCAUAGGCAUCCUGACUGUUUUCAACUCUUCUCCCAUGUCUGCAGUCCUUUUCACUAUGGAGAUUAACAUGGUCAGAAAAUUCAUCACCUGGUGGCCAACCUGUUGGUAAGAUGCUGCUGGUGUAUUCUUUC